rnacentral:ncRNA from 2 species
UUACCGCGUCGCGACUGGCGCGUGAGGUGGAGAACCACCGGGGAGCGAGAAGACGCGGGCACCGUGCGCCUGGGUGCCCAGC